UUCUUGGUUGAUCCUGCCGGAGGUCACUGCUAUUGGGAUUCGACUAAGCCAUGCGAGUCGAGAGGGUUCGGCCCUCGGCUGACGGCUCAGUAACACGUGGAUAAUCUGCCCUAAGGUGGAGGAUAACCUCGGGAAACUGAGAAUAAUACUCCAUAAGUCUAGGAUGCUGGAAUGCACUUAGGCUAAAAACUUCGGUGCCUUAGGAUGAGUCUGCGGACUAUCAGGUUGUAGUCAGGGUAAAGACCUGACUAGCCUACAACGGAUACGGGUUGUGAGAGCAAUAACCCGGAGAUGAUAUCUGAGACACGAUAUCAGGCCCUACGGGGCGCAGCAGGCGCGGAAACUUCGCACUGCGCGAAAGCGCGACGAGGGAAUCCCAAGUGUAUGCACGUAAGUGUAUACUGUUUCUCUGUUUAAAAAGCAGAGAGAGUAGGAGCUGGGUAAGACGGGUGCCAGCCGCCGCGGUA
rnacentral:rRNA from 1 species